rnacentral:rRNA from 1 species
UACGAAGGGGGCUAGCGUUGUUCGGAAUCACUGGGCGUAAAGGGCGCGUAGGCGGUUUGGUAAGUUAGGAGUGAAAUGCCAGGGCUUAACCUUGGAACUGCUCUUAAAACUGCCAGGCUAGAGUUCGGGAGAGGAUGGUGGAAUUCCUAGUGUAGAGGUGAAAUUCGUAGAUAUUAGGAGGAACACCGGUGGCGAAGGCGGCCAUCUGGACCGAUACUGACGCUGAGGCGCGAAAGCGUGGGGAGCAAAC